rnacentral:rRNA from 1 species
ACAACCCAGACCGCCAGCUAAGGUCCCAAAGUCAUGGUUAAGUGGGAAACGAUGUGGGAAGGCCCAGACAGCCAGGAUGUUGGCUUAGAAGCAGCCAUCAUUUAAAGAAAGCGUAAUAGCUCACUGGUCGAGUCGGCCUGCGCGGAAGAUGUAACGGGGCUAAACCAUGCACCGAAGCUGCGGCAGCGAACGUAUCACUUAAAGCGAUUCAGCGGGUUACGAUUAACGGAGCGAAGCGACGUCAAAGCGUAUACAAAGUCGAGUCGGUUUAAGGAUACGUUCGUUGGGUAGGGGAGCGUUCUGUAAGCCUGUGAAGGUGUGUCGUGAGGCAUGCUGGAGGUAUCAGAAGUGCGAAUGCUGACAUAAGUAACGAUAAAGCGGGUGAAAAGCCCGCUCGCCGGAAGACCAAGGGUUCCUGUCCAACGUUAAUCGGGGCAGGGUGAGUCGACCCCUAAGGCGAGGCCGAAAGGCGUAGUCGAUGGGAAACGGGUUAAUAUUCCCGUACUUGGUGUUACUGCGAAGGGGGGACGGUGGUGUUACUGCGAAGGGGGGACGG